rnacentral:lncRNA from 1 species
GAUUUUUAUGUAUUCUGGCAGUCUCUAGAAAUGCAUAUUUAUAUACUGAUAUAACAUAUUGACAUAUUGAUUUCAUAGCAUGUAAAUUUUUGAAUGCACAUUAGUUACUAGGAGUUUUUGAUAUACUGUAGACACAUCUCCUCAUUCCCCAUUAACUGAAGGCACAUCUUAGCUUUUUGUUUGGAGAAUAUAAUUCCCAUUUCAGAGAGUAAGCAAUUUUUCUACACAGUUUCAGAAGGGAUAGUUGAAUAAAUUACAGGUCCACAAAUAUUUGUUAUGUACUCACAUUGCUUGGUUCAGCCACUAAACUAAACCUCAGGGUGGUACAUUGUUAUGUUAAUGGACACCAGUGAAUCACAAUUCCUUACUUCCAUGUCCUUGUAUAGUCCCCUUCCACAGUGAGUCAUUCCUUGGCCAUGUGACUGACUUUGAUCAAUGAAGCAUCACCACAUUUGAUGCAAGAGGAGGCCUGAUGAGUGCUUGUCCUUGGGACUGGCUCUCUUGGAAUCCUGAGGUCACACUCAGAAGAGUCUAGGGUGAAAGGCAUGUGGAGAGAGAAUCUCAGCCAUCUCAACCAUUCAAUCAUCCCAGGUGAGCCCCAAAACAGGUGAGGUCAUCUCAGACCAUCCAAGCCAUUGAUGAAUACAGCCACAUUAGAGUUCCAAGUGAAACCCACAGAUGCUCCAAGAAAAAACGUGAGAGAUGAUGAAUUGUUGGUGUUUUAGGUCAAUAAGCUUGAAGUGGUUUGUUACACAUCAGUACAUAACUGAUACAUUAGAUAUUUUUUGUUGCUGUUUAGUAGGUAAGUCCUGUCUGAUCCUUUGGCAACACUGUGGACAGUAGCCCCCCAGGCUCCUUUGUCUCUAGGACUUCCCAGGCAAGAAUACUAGAGUGGAUUGUCAUUCCUUCUCCAGCAGAUCUUCCUGAUCCAGGGAUUGAACCCAUGUCUCCUGCAUUGCAGGUGGAUUCUUUUACCACUGAGCCACCAAGGAAGUCCAUAUUAGAUGUUAAAGGAAUAUUAAAAAUACAUUUCAUCUUGCCUAAAAGCACAGUUUAAGAUGUAAUGGAAAAACUUGUAAUAAUAAGAACAAUGAGAUUCUUAUUGAACUAGGAAAAUAUAAAGGGGCUGAGGGAGUAUAGAAGAAGGAGCUUCAUAGUCAUAAGAGGGACAGAUUACCAGGUGAGGCAGGAAAAAUAUGCUUACCUUUUUACAUUGUGUAUUUCCCUCUUCAUAUUAAAUCACCUACUUUCUUUGCCUUCCUCCUUGAAAAUAUGUGAAGAGCAAUAGAGAACUGGCCCAGGAGCCAUUUGAAAUACUUAUUUGAUCUUCCUUCUACUGUUUCCCAAAUGAUAGCCUUACUUGGUGCCUGGAAGACAUUAGAUAUUCAGUAACAUCAGAUUAUUUGCUGAACAGAGAAACAUUUUCUGUGACUUAUAAACAGUUACUUAAUUUGGGCUUUGUUAUU